CCCUUAGAUGUUCUGGGCCGCACGCGCGCUACACUGAUAAUGUCAACAAGCUUUACCUUGGCCGAUAGGUCUGGGCAAUCUUCGAACUAUUAUCGUGAUGGGGCUAGAUUAUUGCAACUAUUAAUCUUAAACGAGGAAUUCCUAGUAAGCACGAGUCAUCAGCUCGCGUUGAUUACGUCCCUGCCCUUUGUACACACCGCCCGUCGCUCCUACCGAUUGGAUUGGCUGGUGAAGCGUUCGGAUUGUGGGUUCGGAGCGGUUCGCCGUUCUGGGCUUGCGAGAAGUUCGUUAAACCCUCCUAUCUAGAGGAAGGAGAAGUCGUAACA
rnacentral:rRNA from 1 species